GACAUUCACCAGGGGGGUCCCGCCAAGGGGCUGAGAUACUGCUAGCUCAAUGCAGCGCAGUGACCCGUUGAACCUGAUCCAGUUCAUACUGGCGUAGGGACGGUGCAAGCGCUGCGGC
rnacentral:ncRNA from 2 species